rnacentral:rRNA from 1 species
UACGGAGGGGGGCUAGGCGUUGUUCGGAAUUACUGGGCGUAAAGCGCACGUAGGCGGCUUUGUAAGUUAGAGGUGAAAGCCCAGGGCUUAACUCUGGAAUUGCCUUUAAGACUGCAUCGCUAGAAUCGUGGAGAGGUGAGUGGAAUUCCGAGUGUAGAGGUGAAAUUCGUAGAUAUUCGGAAGAACACCAGUGGCGAAGGCGACUCGCUGGACACGUAUUGACGCUGAGGUGCGAAAGCGUGGGGAGCAAACAGG